GUGACGAAGCGACGCCGCGUGUGGGAAGAAGGCCCUAGGGUUGUAAACCACUGUCAGGAGUUAAGAAAUAUAGAGGCGUUAAUAGCGCUUCUAUUUGACGAAGGCUCCAGAGGAAGCCACGGCUAACUCUGUGCCAGCAGCCGCGGUAAUACAGAGGUGGCAAGCGUUGUUCGGAAUUAUUGGGCGUAAAGAGCACGUAGGCGGCCCUGCAAGUCAGUUGUGAAAGCCUUCCGCUUAACGGGAGAACGGCAGCUGAUACUACGGGGCUAGAGUACGGGAGGGGAGAGUGGAACUUCUGGUGGAGCGGUGAAAUGCGUAGAUAUCAGAAGGAACGCCGGCGGCGAAAGCGACUCUCUGGACCGAAACUGACGCUGAGUGUGCGAAAGCUAGGGGAGCAAACGGGAUUAGAUACCCCGGUAGUCCUAGCCGUAAACGAU
rnacentral:rRNA from 1 species